UGGUGUGCUUAAAAUAAUAAAGCCCCUAUAACUAACACUGAACAAGAAAACAACCAACAAACUUUCCCAAAUGGACACACGAUGGAGGGACAAAAAACUAUAUCCAGCAUUAGGCAUUUUCACCAUUCUUUCUCUUUUAUAGAACUUCAAUGACAAGUACAACCUUAAUUUUUCCUUCCCACAAAUCUUUCUAAGGCAACCAAAGAUGGGUUUCGUUGGAGUUAAUAAAACUCAAUUUGUGAUCAAGAAUGAGGACCCAAAGACUCAUUCUUUAACCUUACAAGAAUUGUAUAUUAAUGGGUGGAAUUCUUAUUGGUUAAUGGAGGAAAGUGUGUGGGAAUCUUCAAGGUAUAGAGUCUCUGAGAUAUUGAGAAGAGGUGCUGAAAUGGGCUCGAGUGUUUGUAGGACUUGGGCUUUUAGUGAUGGUGGUGGACCCAAUGAUCUUCAGCUCCUACCUGGUGUCUUCAAUGAAAGAGUGUUUAAGGGAUUGGAUUAUGUUAUUGUUGAGGCAAGGAAGCAUAACAAUAGAUUAAUCCUCAGUCUUGUAAACAAUUUAAAUGCUUAUGGUGGCACUGCUCAAUAUGUGAGGUGGGCACAAGAAGAAGGUGGUACCAAUGUGUCUUCAUCAAGAGAUUCAUUCUUUACCAACCCAACGGUCAAAGCGUACUACAAGUCUUUCGUCAAGGCUGUUGUGACAAGGAAAAACUCCAUAAGUGGAGUUAAAUAUUCAGAAGAACCAGCCAUAUUUGCAUGGGAACUCAUAAAUGAACCACGUUGUGAAUCCAGUUCAUCAGCUGCUGCUCUGCAGGCGUGGAUAACUGAGAUGGCUGGAUUUGUCAAAAGUUUGGAUCAGAAGCAUCUCGUGACUGUUGGACUCGAGGGCUUUUAUGGUGUGGAAAAAACUGGAAGCUUUGGAGCGAACCCAGGGAAAUGGGCUGCAUCACUUGGAGUGGACUUCAUUGAAAACUCCGCCAUUGACAACAUCGAUUUUACUUCCAUUCAUGCUUACCCCCACAGUUGGAUCCAAGGUAUAAAUUCAGACGCGAAAGUAGAUUUUCUAUCUCAUUUGGUUGAUUCUCACAUUAGUGAAGCUGAAAGAUCCUUAAGAAGCCUGUUCUUUUUACAGAAGUCGGGUUUCCUUCCAGUACACAAAAGGAAGGAUUACAUGACAGAAACAUUUAUCUGAAAAUAGUUUACGACAAGAUUUAUAAAUCAGCAAAGAAGAAGAAAGCUGGUGCAGGAGCCUUAGUUUGGCAGUUGCUGGUGGAAGGAAUGGAGCGAUAUGGUGACAAGUUCUCGUUUAUAUCGUGGAAGCAUCCCUCUAUGUAUAAACUGACGGUACAGCAAUCUUGCAAGCUACUCAAUACAUCUUCUCAAUGCGUCUCACAUAGAAAACUCAAUCGAAAAGAUCAUUGUUUCGCUAAUGCAUCUUAAAUAUGAUAGUUGAUUGAUCAGGACGGACAAAAAGGGCGAAAGUUACCUCUAGAAAUAGACAAUCUUGAAUGAUUUGUUGUGACAUUGAUCAAAGGUAUGUAAAAGAAGCAACUCUGAGAAGUGUUAGCUGGAGGAGUUCAACAAUCAGCUCAUUUUAUCAGAAUUACAUGACAUAUGGUAGGGAGCGCUUCUCUCUUUAAUGGGCUAAACACCUUAUGCAGCGCGAAUCUGGAAUUGGUGGCGGACCCAGGAUUUUAUGCAAGCCGGUUCAAUCUUAGAAGUACAUAACUUUAAUCGUAAAAAAUAGUAGUUGUCAGCUGAGUUCAAAUAAAAUAUUUUUACAAACUUUACGCAGCUUUACUCCUAAUUUAUACAUAUCACAAUAUU